rnacentral:rRNA from 1 species
AGUAACGCGUGGGUAACCUGCCUUGUACUGGGGGACGAACAAGUUGGAAACGACUGCUAAUACCGCAUAAGCGCACAGCUUCGCAUGAAGCAGUGUGAAAAAACUCCGGUGGCACAAGAUGGACCCGCGUCUGAUUAGCUGGUUGGUGAGGUAACGGCCCACCAAGGCGACGAUCAGUAGCCGGCCUGAGAGGGUGAACGGCCACAUUGGGACUGAGACACGGCCCAA